UUGGCACGGAAGGAGAAGGCGGAUGUUAUGUUCCAAAUGAACGUCCCUGAGCCCGCCGUAAGAUCUAGUGCGCAUCUGACUGGGCUCCUUCUAAAGUCUUAAUCCACUUUCGUCGGUGUUCUGGUCUGAACAUUGCGUCUAGCUUUCCCACAACAAGCAGAGGUGAUGCCUGCGUCCUCCCGUGUCCCCAGGCCCCUGACCCCUCCUGCAAAUUGGUGACGGCCAAGCAGGAGCAGGGCUGAUUGACGUGUGAAAGAUGCACGACCACUCUACCCAAAGGCUGAAGGAACCCCCUAGACACACCGCCAAGGGGCCAGUGGGGAGGAACACCGAUGAUGAUGUGAUCCCAAUUUCAACAUCCUCCUUCUCGGAACCCCCUCUCACCUUUCCUCAUCCUCGUCAACACAUGGGCCGCGAUGCUGGUGCGAGAACACGAUACCCCGACCGUCCAGGGUGAAGCAAACACAACCGAAGAGGUCACUCGGUCACAGCAUUUAAGAAAUAAACGACGAGUGGGAGUUGUUUAUCGUCCAAUAAAACACUGCAGGGAGAAUAAAACAUAAGGGGUACAAUAAAACACUGCAGCGCAGCCCCUCAUGGUUUAUUCUCCCUGCAGUGUUUUAUUGUGCGAUAAACAACGACCACGAGUCGAUUAUUUCUUAUAAAGAUAUCAACAUGUAAAAAGUACACGCUUUAAAAAUAUUUACCCGUAUUUAAAUAAUGAUGACUCCCUGGAUAGAAUCCGCCCGCGGAAAUGUCGGACAAGUCGAUUUUAUGAACAGUGGGGUUAAAUUUGGUAUUUCCCGCAUAUUUUCACACAAUUUUCAACGUCGAUUAUCUGUACCUUUUCUCCCAGUAACGAUUGUCAUGUCAAUUCCAUGGAAGCGAUCGUUCGGCAAUUGCAUUGCCCAGUUAUGGGAACAACUCACUGGACACUUCCCUACAAAAAAUAACGUCCAAAUUACCUCGUCAUCAAGUUGCGAGCGCAUG